UAAGUAUUCCGCCUGGGGAGUACGGUCGCAAGAUUAAAACUCAAAGGAAUUGACGGGGACCCGCACAAGCAGCGGAGCAUGUGGUUUAAUUCGAAGCAACGCGAAGAACCUUACCUAGACUUGACAUCUCCUGAAUUACUCGUAAUGGAGGAAGCCCUUCGGGGCAGGAAGACAGGUGGUGCAUGGUUGUCGUCAGCUCGUGUCGUGAGAUGUUGGGUUAAGUCCCGCAACGAGCGCAACCCUUAUCGUUAGUUGCUACCAUUAAGUUGAGCACUCUAACGAGACUGCCGCGGUUAACGUGGAGGAAGGUGGGGAUGACGUCAAAUCAUCAUGCCCCUUAUGUCUAGGGCUACACACGUGCUACAAUGGCCGGUACAACGAGAUGCAAACCCGUGAGGGGGAGCCAAACUCAAAAGCCGGUCCCAGUUCGGAUUGUAGGCUGAAACUCGCCUACAUGAAGUCGGAGUUGCUAGUAAUCGCGAAUCAGCAUGUCGCGGUGAAUACGUUCCCGGGUCUUGUACACACCGCCCGUCACACCC
rnacentral:ncRNA from 1 species